rnacentral:rRNA from 1 species
UAGUCCACGCCGUAAACGAUGUUUGCUAGUUGUCAGGCCCUCAGGGUUUGGUGACGGAGAGAAAUCAUUAAGCAAACCGCCUGGGGAGUACGGCCGCAAGGUUAAAACUCAAAGGAAUUGACGGGGACCCGCACAAGCGGUGGAGCAUGUUGUUUAAUUCGAAGCAACGCGAAGAACCUUACCCACUCUUGACAUACCUCUUGGGACUUUCAGAGAUGAUUGUCUUCGGUUCGGCCGGGGAGGAUACAGGUGUUGCAUGGCUGUCGUCAGCUCGUGUCGUGAGAUGUUCGGUUAAGUCCGGUAACGAGCGCAACCCUUAUUGCUAGUUGCCAGCAUUUAGUUGGGCACUCUAGCGAGACUGCCGGUGUCAAACCGGNGGAAGGUGGGGAUGGACGUCAAGUCCUCACGGCCCUUACGUCCUGGGGCUACACACGUGCUACAAUGGUAGGGGACAGAGAGCAGGCCACUGCGUGAGCAGGGAGCGAAUCUAUAAACCCUAU